rnacentral:rRNA from 1 species
GUAGGGAAUAUUAGAAAUGGACGAAAGUCUGAUCUAGCAACACCGCGUGUGCGAAGAAGGCCUUCGGGUCGUAAAGCACUUUUUGGAAGGAAUAGGAAGGAAUGUACUUCCAGAAUAAGUCUCGGCUAACUACGUGCCAGCAGCCGCGGUAACACGUAGGAGGCAAACGUUAUCCGGAUUUACUGGGCGUAAAGCGCGUGUAGGUGGUACUGUAAGUAGGGCGUGAAAGCUCCUGGCUCAACUGGGAGAGGCCGUUCUAAACUACAGAACUAGAGGAUGGUAGAGGGAGGUGGAAUUCCAGGUGUAGCGGUGGAAUGCGCAGAUAUCUGGAGGAACACUGGUGGCGAAGGCGGCCUCCUGGACCAUUCCUGACACUCAGACGCGAAAGCUAGGGUAGCAAACGGGAUUAGAAACCACUGUAGUCC